GAUCCUGGCUCAGGAUGAACGCUAGCGGCAGGCUUAACACAUGCAAGUCGAGGGGCAGCGGGAUGUAGCAAUACAUGCCGGCGACCGGCGGAUGGGUGCGUAACGCGUAUGCAACCUACCUUAUACAGGGGAAUAACCUUUCGAAAGGGAGACUAACACCCCAUAGUAUUGAUUUAAGGCAUCUUAGAUUAAUUAAAUAUUUAUAGGUAUAAGAUGGGCAUGCGUAUGAUUAGCUAGUUGGUAAGGUAACGGCUUACCAAGGCGACGAUCAUUAGGGGUUCUGAGAGGAAGGUCCCCCACACUGGUACUGAGACACGGACCAGACUCCUACGGGAGGCAGCAGUGAGGAAUAUUGGUCAAUGGGCGCAAGCCUGAACCAGCCAUGCCGCGUGCAGGAAAGACGGCCUUAUGGGUUGUAAACUGCUUUUACAUAAGACUAACCGUAUAUUUGCGAAUAUACCUGAAUGUAUUAUGAGAAUAAGGAUCGGCUAACUCCGUGCCAGCCGCAGC
rnacentral:rRNA from 1 species